UGUUCAAAUACCACCUCCGCUCACAGGUGCUGCCUGUCUGAAUUUAGGCUCCAGGCUUCUCAUCUUUUCAACGGAAGGGAUAAUAACGUUCACCUGCACAGUGCUCUUUUGAACAAGAAACAAGAUUACGUAUGCAAAUAUCUUAAGUGCCAUUACUUUUAAACAAAUGGAGUUUGUUAAUUUUAUUAUUUCUACUUUUAUUAUUCCCCAAGUCAUUAUUUGAACACCUAGAAUGGUGCUUGGCAAAUAGUAGUCACACAAUACAUAUUUGUAGAACAGAUCUUUGAACAAAUACAUAGUAAAAUGAAUGAAUUAAUGAAUACCAAAUUACUGUGAAAAACGUUCAGACCGAAGAAAAAUUUGCUGAAAAGGAACCAGCUUCCCUUUCGUGUCUCUCCCAGCUCAGGCAAGCAGCCCACAAGGGGGCGCUCCCUGAGCCUUCUAGAGGCAGAGCGGCCUGUUGGGAAAGGUCUGAGGGUGUCAGUGGGAACUGCCUGCUUUGCUGAGGAAGCAAAGGCUUGUGUGGGAAGGAAGAUCACAGCUGGUCCGCAGCCUCAAAGAGCAGGAAGCAGGACAGAAGGAGCCCCUCGGUGUACCCUGCAGCCCCCAGCCAGGGAGAAGCAGCAGGAGACAGAGCUACUUCCUCUAACCAGUGGUGGUUCCUAACUCCAAGACAUCCUGGACAUUGGUUCUGAGCAGCAAUCAUUGCAAUUUGCUCUUUUCUGCAGCCGUGAAACUACCAGGAUAAAGUAAUCAGAGUGAUCCCAUGAUGUGCUGGGGCAAACUAAACAUUUCUCGUCAAAAUAAUGGUCAGUUUCCUACUGAAUGCUACAUGAUAAGUGCAGUAUGUUUGAUUAUGACAUCAGUGAGUUUGCUACUUAGAGGAUAUUUAUGGGUGAUACAUUGAAAUUUACCUUUGACCAUCUGUUUUGGCAGAAGGUGUCUCUCCAAUAUCCAAAACUUGGAUAAUCCACAUUAAAACUAAUUUUAUUGUGGCUAAUUUUUGUUAAAUGUUAUUAAAAAUAAUAAUCACAUUGUAUUUAUUAAAUAUUUGUUAAAUUUUAUAGAAUUUAUUAAAUUUUGUUGAUCACCACUAAAAGA
ensembl:lncRNA novel transcript